GGCGUUUUAACACAUCUGCUCUGUGCGGUGCCACCUCGUCUCAAGUUUCCGAUGUGCUGCAGCUGUAGUGGCCUGUUAUUCCGGUCCCUCUGGGUGUGUUCUCCUCUGCACUGGGAGAGGCUCCAGUGACAUAGGACAGGUGUGUGUGUUUGUAUGUUGUGACGGGGAAUACAGGUGACUAAUACCAUUUUUCUGGCAGAGUUCCUGACUUGCAGAUGUAAUUAACAUGCUGACUACACCGGGCACGCGAGCAUGUUGAUUUUGUCCAUCCACGCCAGACGCGAUCAAGACACGCAGGUUGAAAUAUCAAAACAAACUCUGAACCAACUAUAUUCAUUUGGGGACGGGUUGAAACACAUGAAACAUUAAUGGACAUUUAGCUAGCUAGCUUGUUGUUGCCAGCUCAUUUGUCCUGGGAUAUAAACAUUGGGUUGUUUUCUUCAUGGAAUGCACAUUGUCUUUUUUUUUAAUGGAUCGUUGUAGAACAAAAUCAUGUGAUCUCUACUCCGACAAUUAAUCCACAGAUAAAAGGGGAAACCUAGUGAGUUUCUAGUAAUCUCUCGCAGUCUUCCUCUUCUGUGGACUUUAUAUGGUGGUUUCCAACUAACUUUAAGUUGCAUUACCACCAACUGGACCAGAGUGUGGACCUCAGUUCAUCUUUCAAUCACCCACGUGGGUAUAUGCUCCUGAAAACCAAUGAGGAGAUGGGAGAGAUGGGACUUGCAGCGCAUCAAAACAUCAAAAAUAGAACCAAGUUCUAUUUUAGCGCCUGGCUACGCAGACGCGCACGAGCAGUUUGGAUGAAAUGAUUGAAUAACAUGUACAUUUAUCUUGCAACGCGGGCGGUGUCGUCAGCAUGUAGCCGUGCCGACCCCAUUGGAGAUGUAUGUUUGAAGAUAAUUGUAGGAAAUCCUCCACCCAACCCAGAGAAACCCUCUCCUGGUCAUCAGCAACCCUGGAGUACCCUACUACCUGACAGUGUUUUUCAGAAGUGCGGAGAGAGAGAGGAGCGUCAGAAACAUGAAACCUAA
rnacentral:lncRNA from 1 species